CCUUAUGUCUUGGGCUUCACGCAUGCUACAAUGGCCGGUACAAUGGGUUGCGAUACUGUGAGGUGGAGCUAAUCCCAAAAAGCCGGUCUCAGUUCGGAUUGGGGUCUGCAACUCGACCCCAUGAAGUUGGAGUCGCUAGUAAUCGCAGAUCAGCAACGCUGCGGUGAAUACGUUCCC
rnacentral:rRNA from 1 species